AUUGAACGCUGGCGGCAUGCCUUACACAUGCCAGUCGAACGGUAACAGGUCUUCGGAUGCUGACGAGUGGCGCACGGGUGAGUAAUACAUCGGAACGUGCCCGAUCGUGGGGGAUAACGAGGCGAAAGCUUUGCUAAUACCGCAUACGAUCUACGGAUGAAAGCGGGGGAUCUUCGGACCUCGCGCGGACGGAGCGGCCGAUGGCAGAUUAGGUAGUUGGUGGGAUAAAAGCUUACCAAGCCGACGAUCUGUAGCUGGUCUGAGAGGAUGAUCAGCCACACUGGGACUGAGACACGGCCCAGACUCCUACGGGAGGCAGCAGUGGGGAAUUUUGGACAAUGGGCGAAAGCCUGAUCCAGCCAUGCCGCGUGCAGGACGAAGGCCUUCGGGUUGUAAACUGCUUUUGUACGGAACGAAAAGCCUCUUUCUAAUAAAGAGGGGUCAUGACGGUACCGUAAGAAUAAGCACCGGCUAACUACGUG
rnacentral:rRNA from 1 species